CUCCAGACUCCUACGGGAGGCAGCAGUGAGGAAUAUUGGUCAAUGGGCGCGAGCCUGAACCAGCCAAGUCGCGUGAGGGAGGACGGCCCUACGGGUUGUAAACCUCUUUUGCCGGGGAGCAACGGGCGUCACGUGUGGCGCCACUGAGAGUACCCGGAGAAAAAGCAUCGGCUAACUCCGUGCCAGCAGCCGCGGUAAUACGGAGGAUGCGAGCGUUAUCCGGAUUUAUUGGGUUUAAAGGGUGCGUAGGCGGAUCGUUAAGUCAGUGGUCAAAUUGAGGGGCUCAACCCUUGAACUGCAUUUGAAACUGUCGUUCUUGAGUACUGGAGAGGUUGACGGAAUUCCUAGUGUAGCGGUGAAAUGCGUAGAUAUUAGGAGGAACACCAGUGGCGAAGGCGGUCAACUGGACAGCAACUGACGCUGAGGCGCGAAAGCGUGGGGAGCAAACAGGAUUAGAUACCCCCGUA
rnacentral:rRNA from 1 species